CCUACGGGGUGCUGCAGUGGGGAAUAUUGGACAAUGGGCGAAAGCCUGAUCCAGCCAUGCCGCGUGUGUGAAGAAGGCCUUCGGGUUGUAAAGCACUUUCAGUGGGGAAGAAAGCCUUGGGGCUAAUACCCUCGAGGAAGGACAUCACCCACAGAAGAAGCACCGGCUAACUCCGUGCCAGCAGCCGCGGUAAUACGGAGGGUGCGAGCGUUAAUCGGAAUUACUGGGCGUAAAGCGCGCGUAGGCGGUCUGAUAAGCCGGUUGUGAAAGCCCCGGGCUCAACCUGGGAACGACAUCCGGAACUGUCAGGCUAGAGUGCAGGAGAGGAAGGUAGAAUUCCCGGUGUAGCGGUGAAAUGCGUAGAGAUCGGGAGGAAUACCAGUGGCGAAGGCGGCCUUCUGGACUGACACUGACGCUGAGGUGCGAAAGCGUGGGUAGCAAACAGGAUUAGAUACCCUGGUAGUC
rnacentral:rRNA from 1 species